AAUAUAAAGAUGAUCUGCCUGCAACAGUCCAGACCCCAUUAAUCACCAGUACUGAUUCAGCUGAUCUGGCUGGCUUGCUGAGUGUACCGUUUUCCCUCACCUCUU
rnacentral:snRNA from 1 species